CGUACACUCCUGCGGGAGGCAGCAGUGGGGAAUAUUGGACAAUGGGCGCAAGCCUGAUCCAGCCAUGCCGCGUGAGUGAUGAAGGCCCUAGGGUUGUAAAGCUCUUUCACCGGUGAAGAUAAUGACGGUAACCGGAGAAGAAGCCCCGGCUAACUUCGUGCCAGCAGCCGCGGUAAUACGAAGGGGGCUAGCGUUGUUCGGAUUUACUGGGCGUAAAGCGCACGUAGGCGGACUAUUAAGUCAGGGGUGAAAUCCCGGGGCUCAACCCCGGAACUGCCUUUGAUACUGGUAGUCUUGAGUUCGAGAGAGGUGAGUGGAAUUCCGAGUGUAGAGGUGAAAUUCGUAGAUAUUCGGAGGAACACCAGUGGCGAAGGCGGCUCACUGGCUCGAUACUGACGCUGAGGUGCGAAAGCGUGGGGAGCAAACAGGAUUAGAAACCCCCGUAGUCCCAUGAU
rnacentral:rRNA from 1 species